UACAGAGGGGGCAAGCGUUAUUCGGAAUUAUUGGGCGUAAAGGGCGCGUAGGCGGCUUUGCAAGUGACGGGUGAAAUCCCUCGGCUUAACCGAGGAACUGCGCCCUAAACUACUGUGCUCGAGGGAGAUAGAGGUGAGCGGAACUUAGGGUGGAGCGGUGAAAUGCGUUGAUAUCCUAAGGAACACCGGUGGCGAAAGCGGCUCACUGGAUCUCUUCUGACGCUGAGGCACGAAAGCUAGGGUAGCGAACGGG
rnacentral:rRNA from 1 species